AUCCAGGGAUGGGAAUCGAACCCACAAUGUUCCGCUUACCGGGCAGAUGCCAUGUCCAGUAGGCUACCCUGGA